AAAUUGUAUUUUCGUCGCCAAAUCACAUUAUAUCACCCGCCCCCCCAUAAAAACCUAGGUCAUCUAUCGGUCCUUUGUCUCUUUCGGCGCCUCCGUCGAUCUCGCCGUCUCCAGCACACCGGAAGCACGCCGGCCUCGAGGUGCUCCUUCCCUUUCCCUCACUAGCGUCCGAUCUUCACCGCCUCAUCGCCAACACCGCCGGCCAGUCCAUCAUUGUAGGACAUCGAUUGCUGCCUCCAGCUCUCCGGCUCCCGCGGCGAACCCAGGAAGGAGAAGAAGAUCAAGGAGUCGAAGGAGAAGAAGGCGAAGGAGUCGAAGGAGAAAGGAGAGAGAAAGGUGACCCUCUCUAGGCUGCUCAACUUCAUCGACGACCUCUGGUCGACGUGCGGCGGUGAUCGACGCAUCAUCUUCACCACCAACCACGUUGAGAAGCUGGGCCCGAGGCUGAUAAGGAAGGGGAGGAUGGUCAUGCACGUCGAGCUAGGGCAUUGCGAGGUCGAGGCCUUCAAGGUCUUAGCCAAGAACUACCUGGAAGUGGAGGCGCAUCCCUUGUUCGAGAAGGUGAGAGAGCUUCUGGCGGCGGUGAAGAUUUCGUCGGCCGCAGAGUAGCUAAUGCCCAAGAGCACACGUGCCCACGACAAGGCCACCGGAUGCUUGCAAGACUUGAUCCAUGCUCUUUAGACCUUGAUGAACAGCAAGCAACUGAAGGAUGAACUCAUUUGAAUCUGGCUAUUGUUAUUGCUAUGAAUUAAUAUGAGUAUUUGCUACUUAAUUAGCUUUAGCUUUUCACUAAUGAGUCCUUCAAAUGAUCCUACGAAGGAAAAAGUGCCAAUCACUCAGCCUGUCUAGAACAAAAUUAUGAACUUGGAAUUCUGUCUCCACAUUACACAACUAUUAUGGAUUGCUUUGUUUGGAAUAACCAAACUCUUGGAUAUUAUAAUUCUAUGUUUUAGAAGAAUUGGAACUUGAGAAUCUUAUUGACAACUUGUUGGUGAUCAAUUCUCGAGAGAAAAGAAUUCUGAGUCUAUAAUAGUUAUAAUUUUCAAGAAUUAACUUCUCAGAUCUUAUGUUUGAACUGAUGGGAAAUGGUAUUUCAUUUUUUAAUGUACUUUACUAACUUUUUCCUAUACUAUGAGUACACAUGCUUCUUUAUUAAAUAUGGGUAAAAAACAAUGAAGCAAAAGAGUGAGUGGAUUAGAUAUUAGAAUUCUAGUUCCCAAUUUUUUAUUACUCCAAACAAAAAAUUUCGUUGGUACUAAGGAAUUGGACUCUGGGUUACAUGAUAUGUUUCUGUGACUGUAAUUCCUUUUUCUAUUUUUUUUGUUUUGAAAUUGCUAAUGUGCAAACACUUUGUGUUUGUAGCAAGGAACCUACGGAAACCCUAGACUUGUACUGGAAUCAUCUUGGAUUUCAAUGGGUUCCCACUUGAUUAUAUGUAUAUGAUGAAAUGUACCUAAAAUGGGAUAUUCACAGAAGGAGAAUGAUACGUUAUGGGCAGGAUAAGAAGAAAGGAAAAAGGUUUUGAGGCAUGACGAUUUGUAUUUUUUUUGUCGUUUAGAUGACUUGUUAGGUUUGUUGCUUAUAUUAUGACGGUUGAACUUUGAUAUGUUUGGAUAUUAUAACUUGUUGUUUCGAUGUUGUUUUAUUAUGUAUGAAUAUGAAAUGUUUAAUUUUAAUUUACUUCUUUGAUUGUUAA